UACAGAGGGGGCAAGCGUUAUUCGGAAUUAUUGGGCGUAAAGGGCGCGUAGGCGGCCUGGCAAGUGGAAGGUGAAAUCCCUCGGCUUAACCGAGGAACUGCCCUCCAAAACUGCUUGGCUUGAGACCGGGAGAGGUGAGUGGAAUUCCCAGUGUAGCGGUGAAAUGCGUAGAUAUUGGGAGGAACACCAGUGGCGAAGGCGGCUCACUGGCCCGAUACUGACGCUGAGGCACGAAAGUGUGGGGAGCAAACAGG
rnacentral:rRNA from 1 species